UGCUGUUUGUUUUACUGGGAGGGAUGCCCUGUACUGGAGCUCAGACCAGAAGCCCACUUGAAGAAGACGUGCUAGUUGAAUGUCUGCACCAAAAAAAAACCCAAAAAAACUGUGUCGUGUGAUGGAAAUGUGGCACCCCUGAGAAAUAAAACGGCCUGGGUGAAAUCAGAGGACACAAAAAAAUAAUAAUAAACAGACUCACAUGAGGCCUUCUAUUCCUCCCAUAAGGGCCAGGAGACUACAGACGGCACAUCAAGCAGCGCAUGCGACCCUGCAGGUGUUUCACACUCAGCAGAAUGGAGGAAUGUGUAAGACCAAGCAAAAUAAAUACUCAAAGAAACAAAUGCAAACGCCACGCCAGGGACACUGCAUGCAACACGAGAUACGCGAUGAAAGAAAAACUGUCGUCAGUGCACGAGAGGCUGAGCCCGAGCGAGUCGACUUCCUACAACUCGGGUGAAAAGCUUCUUCAUCACAGACAGUACAUCCCAGCUCAGACUCCCCAGAAGGAUGUCGUUCAACCCCGGGAAAAAUUCUGAAGUGGAUUUCUUUCACUCUUGGUUUUACUGCAAAUCAAACAGCUGCCUCAAGAUGUUUCUCACACAACGCUUACAUUGGAGGCGCCACAAUCGGCUCUGAGCUGAUCUCACGUCCAAUUUCGCCCACCCUUCACGGUCACAGUGGCGUCUCAGAAGGUGCACCGCGCAUCCUCUCCAAAUCUGCCAUCAGAAGAGCGCAAAUAAAGCGGCAACCACUCU